ACUUUGGGCCCAGGGACCUUUCAUUUCCAUGAGAAUGAGAAUGCCCUCUCUGAGCUUCUGCUUCUGCAGAUCAGACAGAUAGAUAUUCACAAGUCUAGCAAUUACAGGCAGCAGAGUGCGUCAGUGGACUUUGUAGCUGGAUAGUGAAUAUGUCAAACUAACCAUCUGGACUUUCAAGAAUGAGGUGCAUUUUGGACAAGUGUUCUGCAAAGAGAGAGGCUAAGUCAACACAAAGUGUAACUGGGAGCGUUUCUACCCAGACUCUUUAUUUCCAGAAUCAUGACUCUGAGAAUAAAUGCCCAGAUUAUAAGCUGUGGCCCGUUCUCCAACCAGCUUGUAAUUUAUAUAACCCGUUUACUCUAGUCUGUGUCUGCCACAUGGUUGGGUAUUUCUCCUCAGAUUCAUGCUUCUGGUUUCUUCAGCCUUUGGGGAAUCUCCAGGUCUUGACUUUUUCCCAAAGUCCUAUGUGUCUCUUGCCCAGUGUUCCAACUUCUAUUUCCUGCCUUAACUAAUAGCCCAUCAGCUUUUUAUUACAGGUGAUGCUUGCACAGACUAUGGAAGAGAUUCUCUCUACAUCUCCCCCCUUAUCGUCCAAUAAAAGGCCCUUUCUCUAACGUCACUAAACUUCGUACCUUAGGAACAACUGUGAAAUCCAACAGCUUGCCUUCUUGUAUGACAGAGAACCACUGCCUAGGAGUGGUGCUGCCCACAGUGGUCUUUAUGGAACUCCUCAGGGACCAAGAAAAUAGCCCAUGGAUGUGACCACAGGAAGAAAAGUGGA
rnacentral:lncRNA from 1 species